CUGGGCAUUAUAAAACGUUACUGCAUAUGACAAUAUCUCAUUUCCAAUGACAAUUUUUGCUUCCUCAGACUUUGCUUUUCACUUUAGCUUGGUAACUAUUGUUUACAUCUAAUUAUGAGUUCUUAUUGUCAGGGUAAAGAAGUGGGGACAAAAGUCAUCAGUCUGUCAAGCAGUGCUUUGGUGGACAAGAUUGGUGUGGCAAGAGGACCAGCAUCAUUUUCAAAUGGAUAUGGGUGGCAGGCUUCCUGGUCCUAUUCCAAGUACAUAGAAGCCUUGGAGCAGGAGAGAAUACUUAUUAAAAUGCAAGAAGAUCUGGAUAAAAACUCAUCAUCAUUCCUUACAGGUGCUUCAUCUAUGUCCUUCCUGAAGCCUGGAAACUCCGAAAAAUCCACCAUUUCUCCAAAGAGUAGUGUGAGUUUGGAGAAACACUCAAAUCUUCCCAAGAAACAGAAAGCAGAUUAAAAUCUCUCUGAAGAAGGGAAUGCAAAGACAUUCAACAGAGGUGGGCAGGAGACACAAAAAUAAUGUGCUUGCAAGGUUUGUCCAUAUGUUUCCAGAGCAAAGACGACGACUUGGAAUAUUAUUAAGAACCAUGGGACAUUAGCCAAGGGUAGAAAAUAAACAUCUUCCAAUGUGUUCUGUAUCACCAUGAUUGUGAUACUGCCUCUUGUGUUACUCAUUUGUUUAAAAGUACACCUUGAGGCUCAAAUCAGAGUAAGAUUUCAUUGAAGUAUGCAUGGUACAAACAACUAGGUGGUCUUGGUCCUAAAAAUAUUAUAAUCAAACCCAGUUCUUCAGUGCCUGAUCUAAUGAGUAAAUAAAACUGCAUUGAACUGACAGCCCUGAAGCAGUGUGUCUUGGCACACUAUGCUCUCAGUACUGCAAUUCACGCAACAUCUAUUCAUCAAGGAUAACUCAUUAAGUGUCUGAGCUAUCAUAAAAUCAAAUGCUGUUGUGGUUUGCUCCCAGUCCAGUCUGAUUCCUGGUCCAACGUACACCUUCUGCCUCAUUUCUGAGUUUUGAUCCACAAGAGAGGCUUAAAAUACAUCAGGACAC
rnacentral:lncRNA from 1 species